rnacentral:rRNA from 1 species
ACGUGAGCAACCUGUCCUUGAGGUGGGGAAACCGGUUAGGAAACGACGGCUAAUACCGAAUGUGGCGCCGGGAGACAUCGUCCCGGACGCUAAAGGGGGCCCCAAAGGCUCUCCCUCUUCGAGGGGCUCGCGCACCAUCAGCUUGUUGGCGGGGUAACGGCCCACCAAGGCUUACGGUUAGCUGGUCUGAGAGGAUGGCCAGCCGCACUGGGACUGAGAUACUGCCCAGACUCCUACGGGAGGCUGCAGUCGAGGAUCAUUCGCAAUGGGGGAAACCCUGACGAUGCGACGCUGCGUGGAGGAUGAAGGCCUUCGGGUUGUAAACUCCUGUCAUGAUGGAAAAGGAGAGGGGACCCAACACGUCCCUUAUUUGAUGGUACAUCAAGAGGAAGAGACGGCUAACUCUGUGCCAGCCGCAGC